rnacentral:rRNA from 1 species
GGCCUGGUUGGGUGGUCUGCCGAUUGGUAUGUACUACUCGACUGGGUCUUACCUUCUAGGGAACCUUCAUGCUCUUCACUGAGUGUGAUGGGGAUCUAGAACUUUUACUGUGAAAAAAUUAGAGUGUUUAAAGCAGGCUUACGCUUGAAUACAUUAGCAUGGAAUAAUAAAAUAGGACUU